rnacentral:sRNA from 1 species
GAGAGUCCUACCGAUGUGUCUUCUGC